rnacentral:rRNA from 1 species
UACGUAGGUCCCGAGCGUUGUCCGGAUUUAUUGGGCGUAAAGCGAGCGCAGGUGGUUUAAUAAGUCUGAUGUAAAAGGCAGUGACUCAACCAUUGUGUGCAUUGGAAACUGUUAGACUUGAGUGCAGUAGAGGAGAGUGGAAUUCCAUGUGUAGCGGUGAAAUGCGUAGAUAUCGGGAGGAACACCAGUAGCGAAGGCGGCUAUCUGGCUGGUAACUGACGCUGAGGUGCGAGAGCGUGGGGAGCAAACAGG